AGAAUCUCUGAGCCUAUGAGAGCCUUUGUGGCCCCGCAAGGGGUACCCGCCGCGACUGUAAAGAAAGGACGCAGGUAUUAAAUCGCAAGUCAGCCUGGCUGGCCACACUUUCGAAUUGCGGGGACUCCCUAAAGCCCUCCUCUACCAACCCGCUGGAGAAAUCCGGUGGGGGCCCGUGUGAACAGCACGGGGUGCGGUAACAACGAGGACGGAUCUUGCAAUGGGUAAUCCGCAGCCAAGUCCCUAAGGCGCACGCUAUGGGAAAGGUUCACAGACUAAGUGGAAGUGGGCUGAAGCAAUGCUUCGGCUUAAGAUAUAGUCGGGCUGUUCAUGAGAAUGAAUGGAAGUCACUGUUCCGUAGGUGAACCUGCGGAAGGAUCAUUA
rnacentral:ncRNA from 1 species